ensembl:lncRNA
CAAAAGUUUAAAUAGUUUCAUGUAAGGAAAAAAAGCUAGCUGGUUUUUUUUGGGGGGGGGUGGGGGGAAAAACCCACAAGCCUCAACAACAAUGAAUCACCUGCACUGUAUAAAUUCCUCUAUUUUUAACCACUGCUUUUGAUGUUUAAUAGUGACAACUUAGGUUUGGAGCCCAAAUUCAUGUUCAACUCAGCCAACAUUUACAAAUGGAUUUCUCAGGACCACAACAGCACUUUAGGCUGUUGUAGGACUUCGUUUCCUGCUUGUGGUAGAUUGCAGAUAGACCCAGUGCUUCACACCUCUCUGACUACACGCUUUACCAUGGUGUGCCCUCCUGAGUCACAAUAGCUUGGCUAUGGGACUUGCUUUGGCUCUUGGGAUGUUCAUGGAGCCAAGAGAGGCUUGCAAGGGGCCUGUGUGUUAAGCUUUCAUCUCUGGAGCCCCUUCUUCUGCCAUGAGAAGGACAUACCUGGCUGGCCUGCUGGAGGAAAAGAGACUUGGGGAGUAGAGGUGAGUAAUUCUCAUUGUCUCAAUCAAGGUCAACCCGGAUCCUCCAGCAGCUAUCCCCAGACAAAUUAUUGAGUCCAGCAGGGGGUCUAGGCAGUCCACGGAGCUGCCUAGCCACUGGAUGCUUUGCUGACCAUCAUUGUGGUUUGAGGAAUGCUUGUAAUGCACAUUAUGUGACAAUGGAUAACCUAUCCUCAAAGGACUUCCAAUCUGGUGAGAGACAAAAGUUUACACAUAACCAUAAUUACUACAACUACUACCACUGGUGGGUAACAUUUAUUCAAUGCUUAUUUAUUUUGCUCCAGGUCCUAUAUUCAAUGCUUCACUGUCAUUUAAUCUGUGCUACAAUGCUUAUCCUCAGUUCACAGAUGAGGAAACUGAGUCUCAAAGAGGUGCAGUGACUUGCCCGAGGUCACACAGCUAAGCAAGGGGGAAGUCGGUAUUUUGAUCCAGGUCUAUUUGACUUCAAAGCCCAUGAAUGAGGCCAUUAUGCUUUCCUGCAAGUCUAAACGUUUUAGCAGUUACAGGAGGAUCUCAACGUAUUAUUUUUUUAAACAGGCAAAUCAGGUUGCUAGAAGGGGCAGCAUUUGAUCUGGGACUUAAAGUGGCUUUGGUCAGGAUUCCACGCAAUGAGGUGGGAAUGAAGGAGUGCUUAUGUGAAUAUUUUUAUUCUGCAAACAGAUUAAGGUAUUUGGCAGCUGCUGGAAAGUUUUCCACAUCCAGUGAUUGGCUGCAUUUGGUGGACAAAGGAACUCAUCACUAUAUGAACUUUAAAGGGAUACAGCUUGUGAAAAAUUCCUCUGAUAAAAGUCAAGGCUACUUCAAGGGCUGGGUGCUGUUGAGAGAUGGAAUCUCUGUGCCCUUCCAUCAAGAAGUGGUCUGUCUAUGGAUGUGAGGCUCCAGGUUAGUGUUGCAUUGGAUGGUUAUAUAACGUGCUGCUUCGGGGUCCAAAUAGCCACUCUUCCUCUCUUCCCUGCAUAGUUUCUACUCCCACCAGAGAUGGUUUUGAACGAGCACUCAUGUCUUGCCUGCUAGAACUGUGGCAUUUUAGACUUUCU